GCCGGGUAAGGGGGUUAGUAACUGACAGCUCGGCCUCGCCACGAGAAGCCUCAAGUAGGUCAGGCUGUGUCAACCGUUUGAAAUCCAGAGUCCACCCCAGUGGGCUUAAGGGAGUAGAGCAGCAGGAGAAAUGAAUUACUACGGCAAACCAUCAAGUUAAUCUGACCCAGAUAGGAAAAUACAAGGAAUGAGAGGAAUUUGACCCAAGCAAGAGAUACAGGAAAAAUGCUGAUAUACUCAGAGUUCGAGGAAAUGCAAAUGGACUAACGCACUUGACAGUAAUUGGUAUUAUAGCUAAAAGUCAACUACUUUCGGAUGCCUUACUAUUAAACAGAGAGAUGUAGGAAGCCUCAGACAUGUGUUACCAUCCAUACACAAUAGUUGCAUACCUGAGUUUGAACAAAUGACGGCCUUUGUGUUCGCAUUUCCUGGAUCAAACUAAAAACACUGAAGUUCUCAGGAAUGAUCUAUCAAAUAAAAGAAAAAAAUAUCUUA